CUGCAACUCGCCUGCAUGAAGUUGGAAUUGCUAGUAAUCGCGAAUCAGAAUGUCGCGGUGAAUACGUUCCCGGGCCUUGUACACACCGCCCGUCACACCAUGAGAGUCGAUAACACCCGAAGCCUGUGAGCUAACCGCAAGGGGGCAGCAGUCGAAGGUGGGGUUNAUGAUUGGGGUGAAGUCGUAACAAGGUAAC
rnacentral:rRNA from 1 species